rnacentral:rRNA from 1 species
GUGGCGGACGGGUGAGUAACGCGUGGGUAACCUGCCUUGUACUGGGGGACGAACAGUUGGAAACGACUGCUAAUACCGCAUAAGCGCACAGCUUCGCAUGAAGCAGUGUGAAAAACUCCGGUGGUACAAGAUGGACCCGCGUCUGAUUAGCUGGUUGGUGAGGUAACGGCCCACCAAGGCAACGAUCAGUAGCCGGCCUGAGAGGGUGAACGGCCACAUUGGGACUGAGACACGGCCCAAACUCCUCGGGAGGCAGCAUG